GGGAGGCAACAGGGCCAAGGUUAGCAGGAGAGGCAAGGACAGAAGUGAGAGAUAACAUAGUAUUAUGAAAAUAGGGAGCCACAAGACAAGACCUGCAGUCAGCUUGUAGAAGCUGAAAAAAGUCAAGAAAGGGAAUGGUCCCAGAAUGUCCUGAGGGAAACAGCUUUGCUGAUACAUUGACCUCAUCACAGUGAGCCUGGAGUUGGAUGCCAGAUCUACAGGACUAAGAAGACAUUUUCAAAGACACAGAUAUCAGUGUGUUGUUUUGCUGAGAGAAGAUAAAGGGGGCUGAGGCAGGGGAGGAAUAAAAGGCAAGCGGGUCCUGGCCCUUGCACUGCAGUUGAGGGAAUCUGAGGGCAGCAUGCAGGCACCAGCACCGAGGGAAGCUUUGGGCCUAGGCCGCAGUUUUAGGUUCUGAAGAAUAAACAGAAUCUGGAUGCAGUGGUGCACACCUGUAAUCUCAGCAUUCGGGAGGCUGAAGCAGAGAAUCACCAUCAGUUCCUGGUCUAGCCUGGGAUAUAUAGUGAGUUCAAGGCCAGCUUGAACUACAUAGAGAGACCCUGUUCAAAAAAAAAAUAAACAGAGAUGAAGUGCACAUUGUUUUUUUUAUAAAACAGACCACAUCCAAAUCAAAACAACUGAAAAUGCUUCUUAAACUUGGUAUAAAUCAGUUAGCACAGAUGUGUCUGCUGGGAAUGGCAUUUAGAUGAAAGGGAUGCUAUAUAUACCCAAGAUGAGUUAGAAUGUAGAGGACACGAGGAAAAGGCAGUUAAUCAUUUUUUUAAAUGUAAUGAAAGAUAAUGCUGGAAAGAAAGGACAGGGAUUAAUUUUGUUGGGUCUUGAAUUUCAGCCCAAGGAACUGGGAUUAAAUUUAUUUUAUGCUUUUCCUCCAGUGAUUUGUUACUUUUCACUAGGUUGGACCUCAAUAAAAU
rnacentral:lncRNA from 1 species